rnacentral:rRNA from 1 species
UACGUAGGGUGCGAGCGUUAAUCGGAAUUACUGGGCGUAAAGCGUGCGCAGGCGGUUUUGUAAGUCUGACGUGAAAUCCCCGGGCUCAGCCUGGGAAUUGCGUUGGAGACUGCAAGGCUGGAGUCUGGCAGAGGGGGGUAGAAUUCCACGUGUAGCAGUGAAAUGCGUAGAGAUGUGGAGGAACACCGAUGGCGAAGGCAGCCCCCUGGGUCAAGACUGACGCUCAUGCACGAAAGCGUGGGGAGCAAACAGG